rnacentral:rRNA from 1 species
UCCGAUUAUGGCUAGGACCAGGCCCAGAGCGGGUGUAAGGCCCGUGCGGGUAGGUUAGUGAUGUUUGAAGCACUCCUCAGAUGUACAUGCUCUCGAGUCGGAUUGCUUGAGAAUGCAGUCCAAAGUGGGUGGUAAACUCCAUCCAAGGCUAAAUACUGGCACGAGUCCGAUAGUAGACAAGUACCGUGAGGGAAAGUUGAAAAGUACUCUGAAGAGAGAGUAAAUAGCACGUGAAGCCGCUUGCAGGGAAGCUGGUGGAGUCAAGCUUCUUGUUCAGAGGAUUGUCAUCAUGGACCAUUGCUGUUGUUUGGAGCGUGAUAGUGGUGAGCCUGGAAAGGGUUUGGCGUGCUUCGGUGCGUUUCAAGUCAUUCCGGGAUGGAUGUUUGUGCCGCUAUCUAUCCUCCUGGUCCUGGUGCUUUAUUCUCUGUGACAUACAUCACGGUCAAUAAUGGUUCGUACUGUGUGAUCGCUUAACUGUGCUUUGGCGGGCAUUCGUGUCUGCCGGGUGCGGAAUGGCAGGUGGCUUGUGCGGGACUUGUCCCGUAACUCGCUUAUGUUGAUUUCGAUCUGCUAGUGAUCAUGUUGUAUUUAUCAGUAUCGGCCUUAUUGUUCAUAUGCGGUGUU